rnacentral:lncRNA from 1 species
GUUCCCUCUUUGUUUAACCUCAUAUAUAAAGCACUUAGGUUUGGCAUUUUUGGGGGUCUCUAUUUCCUUAUAAGGGCCCCCAUAUCAUGUAAACUUAAAUAAAUUUGUGUGCUUUUCUCUUAUUAAUCUUUUGUCACAGAGUUCUAGCUGAGACUGAGGUGGGUAGAGGAAAAUUUUUUCCUCCUCAACAACAACAUAGUGGAAAACAAAGCAAGAGACAGUUUCAAGAAGGAGCUAUGGUCAACAGAGAUAAUGCCCCAGAGAGUCACAUAAAAGGAAGCACUUCUUCACUUUAAACCGACCACUUACAAAAGUAGCAGGUGAAGGUUUCUCUGUGGACUGGGCGACAGAUAGGAGGACCAGAAUAAGUGGUUAACUUGGAUUGACCUUCUGAACAGCUGCCCCAUUAAACUUCAGAGACAGCACAUCCCCAUUGCUGCAAUCAAGUGACUACAGCUGGUACUGUCCUUACAAAUUUAAGCUGCAGAAGCACUUUAGAGAGGGGUGACAUCAUAUCCAUCCAUACUGGAAGCACAGUGAGUCAUAGCAAUAAAAUAGAAUUUACCACAAGGUGGAGUUGGUCUGACCCCAGUCCAUUGUCUUUAGUUAUUAAAAUAUGUACUUUACUA